rnacentral:rRNA from 1 species
CCUUUGUACACACCGCCCGUCGCUACUACCGAUUGAAUGGCUUAGUGAGGUCUCCGGAUCGGCGUCGGGGAGCCGGCGACGGCACCCUGAUGCUGAGAAGCUGAUCAAACUUGGUCAUUUAGAGG